rnacentral:tRNA from 1 species
GGAGCGUUGGUAGAGUGGUAAUACAGCGGAUUGCUAAUCCGUCAUCCUGUUAAAGGGAUGCAGAGGUUCGAGUCCUCUACGCUCCGCCA